rnacentral:rRNA from 1 species
GACGAACCGUGCGAACGUUGUUCGGAAUCACUGGGCUUAAAGGGUGCGUAGGCGGGUUCGUCAGUCAGGGGUGAAAUCCCACGGCCCAACCGUGGAAGUGCCUCUGAUACUGCGGGCCUAGAGGGAAAUAGGGGCGUGCGGAACUUCCGGUGGAGCGGUGAAAUGCGUAGAUAUCGGAAGGAACACCGGUGGCGAAAGCGGCGCGCUGGAUUUCUACUGACGCUGAGGCACGAAAGCCAGGGGAGCAAACGGG